UUUUGGCUGCUCGCUUGGAUGGAUUAGGAAUUGUAAUAGAAUUUUGUAAUAAAUAUCAAUUUUAUGUUCGAUAUAAUUUAUUUUUUGUUCUUAACGUAAAAUGAAGUGCUAACGAAAUCAAGUUAUCAUAUACGUUCAAAUUUCCAUAUUUCUAAGCAAUACGUUCUCCGCGAAAUAAUUACUGCAAUAUUGCAGCAGAAUAUAAUCUGAUACUAUGUUCGCACCAAAUUGAAAACCUCUUGAAAACACAAUUUGUGGAUUGUGGAACCGAAGUCGUUCGCACCGACAUUUUGUGUUUUCGAUGAGUUUUCAUUGACAGUUCACACAUUUAUUUGUUUACAUUAGUUACGUACGUUUAGGCCAACGAGAAUGAAUCUAUCGGCUCGGUUGGUGACAUUAUCAUCGCUGAGGGCGAAGGAGUGCAAACUGGUGAUGGCAGUGAAGAUGCAGCAACAAAUGUUGAACACGCAGCCGUUUUCACCGAAAUUUCCAUCGGUUCGGAGUUCGUAGGACCUUUUUAAAAAUGUAUAUACUUAUAUAUAUGUAAAUAUAAAUAAUAUAUUCAAUAAAAAACACAUGUCUCUUACUUGGAAAGCUUUCCUCCACUAA